rnacentral:tRNA from 1 species
GGGAAUGUGGCUUAGUGGUAGAGUGCUUGCCUAGCAUGCAUGAAUCCCUGGGUUCAAUUCCGCAGUACCA